GACGAACGCUGGCGGCGUGCUUAACACAUGCAAGUCGAACGGAAAGGCCCUGCUUUUGUGGGUUGCUCGAGUGGCGAACGGGUGAGUAACACGUGAGUAACCUGCCCUUGACUUUGGGAUAACUUCAGGAAACUGGGGCUAAUACCGGAUAGGAGCUCCUGCUGCAUGGUGGGGGUUGGAAAGUUUCGGCGGUUGGGGAUGGACUCGCGGCUUAUCAGCUUGUUGGUGGGGUAGUGGCUUACCAAGGCUUUGACGGGUAGCCGGCCUGAGAGGGUGACCGGCCACAUUGGGACUGAGAUACGGCCCAGACUCCUACGGGAGGCAGCAGUGGGGAAUAUUGCACAAUGGGCGGAAGCCUGAUGCAGAAACGCCGCGUGCGGGAUGACGGCCUUCGGGUUGUAAACCGAUUUCGCAUGUGACGAAGAGUGAGUGACGGUAAUGGGUAAAGAAGCACCGGCUAACUACGUG
rnacentral:rRNA from 1 species